AUUGAACGCUGGCGGCAUGCCUUACACAUGCAAGUCGAACGGUAACAGGUCUUCGGAUGCUGACGAGUGGCGAACGGGUGAGUAAUACAUCGGAACGUGCCCGAGAGUGGGGGAUAACGGAGCGGAAGCUUUGCUAAUACCGCAUACGAUCUACGGAUGAAAGCAGGGGACCGCAAGGCCUUGCGCUCAUGGAGCGGCCGAUGGCAGAUUAGGUAGUUGGUGGGAUAAAAGCUUACCAAGCCGACGAUCUGUAGCUGGUCUGAGAGGACGACCAGCCACACUGGGACUGAGACACGGCCCAG
rnacentral:rRNA from 1 species